CUAUGUUAUGGAUAUAACAUGGCGAAAGGAG
ncrna:unclassified sequences L31-Firmicutes ribosomal protein leader